UAACACAUGCAAGUCGAGGGGCAGCAUGGUCUUAGCUUGCUAAGGCCGAUGGCGACCGGCGCACGGGUGAGUAACACGUAUCCAACCUGCCGUCUACUCUUGGACAGCCUUCUGAAAGGAAGAUUAAUACAAGAUGGCAUCAUGAGUCCGCAUGUUCACAUGAUUAAAGGUAUUCCGGUAGACGAUGGGGAUGCGUUCCAUUAGAUAGUAGGUGGGGUAACGGCCCACCUAGUCUUCGAUGGAUAGGGGUUCUGAGAGGAAGGUCCCCCACAUUGGAACUGAGACACGGUCCAAACUCCUACGGGAGGCAGCAGUGAGGAAUAUUGGUCAAUGGGCGAGAGCCUGAACCAGCCAAGUAGCGUGAAGGAUGACUGCCCUAUGGGUUGUAAACUUCUUUUAUAAAGGAAUAAAGUCGGGUAUGGAUACCCGUUUGCAUGUACUUUAUGAAUAAGGAUCGGCUAACUCCGUGCCAGCAGCCGCGGUAAUACGGAGGAUCCGAGCGUUAUCCGGAUUUAUUGGGUUUAAAGGGAGCGUAGAUGGAUAUUUAAGUCAGUUGUGAAAGUUUGCGGCUCAACCGUAAAAUUGCAGUUGAUACUGGAUAUCUUGAGUGCAGUUGAGGCAGGCGGAAUUCGUGGUGUAGCGGUGAAAUGCUUAGAUAUCACGAAGAACUCCGAUUGCGAAGGCAGCCUGCUAAGCUGCAACUGACAUUGAGGCUCGAAAGUGUGGGUAUCAAACAGGAUUAGAUACCCUGGUAGUCCACACGGUAAACGAUGAAUACUCGCUGUUUGCGAUAUACUGCAAGCGGCCAAGCGAAAGCGUUAAGUAUUCCACCUGGGGAGUACGCCGGCAACGGUGAAACUCAAAGGAAUUGACGGGGGCCCGCACAAGCGGAGGAACAUGUGGUUUAAUUCGAUGAUACGCGAGGAACCUUACCCGGGCUUAAAUUGCAGAUGAAUUACGGUGAAAGCCGUAAGCCGCAAGGCAUCUGUGAAGGUGCUGCAUGGUUGUCGUCAGCUCGUGCCGUGAGGUGUCGGCUUAAGUGCCAUAACGAGCGCAACCCUUGUUGUCAGUUACUAACAGGUUUUACUGAGGACUCUGACAAGACUGCCAUCGUAAGAUGUGAGGAAGGUGGGGAUGACGUCAAAUCAGCACGGCCCUUACGUCCGGGGCUACACACGUGUUACAAUGGGGGGUACAGAGGGCCGCUACCACGCGAGUGGAUGCCAAUCCCCAAAACCUCUCUCAGUUCGGACUGGAGUCUGCAACCCGACUCCACGAAGCUGGAUUCGCUAGUAAUCGCGCAUCAGCCACGGCGCGGUGAAUACGUUCCCGGGCCUUGUACACACCGCCCGUCAAGCCAUGGGAGCCGGGGGUACCUGAAGUGCGUAACCGCGAGGAGCGCCCUAGGGUAAAACUGGUGACUGGGGCUAAAU
rnacentral:rRNA from 1 species